rnacentral:tRNA from 1 species
GUGUAGCUCAGUGGUAGAGUGCUUGCCCAGCAUGCAUGAGGCCCUGGGUUCAAUCCCCAGUAC